rnacentral:rRNA from 1 species
CCUACGUGGGGCAGCAGUGAGGAAUAUUGGUCAAUGGGUGCGAGCCUGAACCAGCCAAGUAGCGUGAAGGAUGACUGCCCUACGGGUUGUAAACUUCUUUUAUAAAGGAAUAAAGUGAGGCACGUGUGCCUUUUUGUAUGUACUUUAUGAAUAAGGAUCGGCUAACUCCGUGCCAGCAGCCGCGGUAAUACGGAGGCUCCAAGCGUUAUCCGGAUUUAUUGGGUUUAAAGGGAGCGUAGAUGGGUUUUUAAGUCAGUUGUGAAAGUUUGCGGCUCAACCGUAAAAUUGCAAUUGAUACUGGCAGUCUUGAGUACAGUUGAGGUAGGCGGAAUUCGUGGUGUAGCGGGGAAAUGCUUAGAUAUCACGAAGAACUCCGAUUGCGAAGGCAGCUUACUAAACUGCCACUGACAUUGAUGCCCGAAAGCGUGGGGAGCAAACAGGAUUAGAUACCCCAGUAGUC